rnacentral:rRNA from 1 species
UACGUAGGGUGCGAGCGUUGUCCGGAAUUAUUGGGCGUAAAGAGCUCGUAGGCGGUCUGUCGCGUCUGCUGUGAAAACCCGAGGCUCAACCUCGGGCCUGCAGUGGGUACGGGCAGACUAGAGUGCGGUAGGGGAGAAUGGAAUUCCUGGUGUAGCGGUGGAAUGCGCAGAUAUCAGGAGGAACACCGGUGGCGAAGGCGGGUCUCUGGGCCGUAACUGACGCUGAGGCGCGAAAGCGUGGGGAGCGAACAGG